rnacentral:rRNA from 1 species
AUUGAACGCUGGCGGCAGGCCUAACACAUGCAAGUCGAGCGGAUGAAGGGAGCUUGCUCCUGGAUUCAGCGGCGGACGGGUGAGUAAUGCCUAGGAAUCUGCCUGGUAGUGGGGGAUAACGUCCGGAAACGGGCGCUAAUACCGCAUACGUCCUGAGGGAGAAAGUGGGGGAUCUUCGGACCUCACGCUAUCAGAUGAGCCUAGGUCGGAUUAGCUAGUUGGUGGGGUAAAGGCCUACCAAGGCGACGAUCCGUAACUGGUCUGAGAGGAUGAUCAGUCACACUGGAACUGGGACACGGUCCAGACUCCUACGGGAGGCAGCAGUGGGGAAUAUUGGACAAUGGGCGAAAGCCUGAUCCAGCCAUGCCGCGUGUGUGAAGAAGGUCUUCGGAUUGUAAAGCACUUUAAGUUGGGAGGAAGGGCAGUAAGUUAAUACCUUGCUGUUGUGACGUUACCAACAGAAUAAGCACCGGCUAACUUCG